rnacentral:rRNA from 1 species
GACGAACGCUGGCGGCGUGCUUAACACAUGCAAGUCGAACGGAAAGGCCCUGCUUGCAGGGUGCUCGAGUGGCGAACGGGUGAGUAACACGUGGGUGAUCUGCCCCUUACUUUGGGAUAAGCCUGGGAAACUGGGUCUAAUACUGGAUAGGACCAUGCUGUAGGUGGUGUGGUGGAAAGAUUAGUUUCGGUAAGGGAUGAGCUCGCGGCCUAUCAGCUUGUUGGUGGGGUAAUGGCCGACCAAGGCGUCGACGGGUAGCCGGCCUGAGAGGGUGGACGGCCACAUUGGGACUGAGAUACGGCGCAGACUCCUACGGGAGGCAGCAGUGGGGAAGAUUGCACAAUGGGCGCAAGCCGGAUGAAGCGACGCCGCGGGGGGGAUGACGGCCUUCGGGUUGUAAACUCCUUUCAGCCAUGACGAAGCCCUUGUGGUGACGGUAGUGGUAGAAGAAGCACCGGCUAACUACGUG